UUAAAUUUUAUAUUAAUUAAAACUCAUUCAAGGAACCGUUGCUUCACAUUACACUGUUCUCCACGUUGGCAUAUGUUUGAAACUAGAAAAAGUGAAAAGAUGGGUGUCAUGCUGGCAAACCCAUUGAAGGAACCACCACUGGAGGUGGUCUUAUACAUGAAGUAAAAAAUGUAAUGCCUGACUAGUCAAACCAACUCACACUCAUCAACUAAUAUAAAGCAAGAAAGUCAGAAACCAAACACUUGUCACAAUUGUUAAUUUAAAUUUAAAUUGGAAAAGAGUGAUUAAAACGCUGCAAUCUGAAGAACAUCGUGUUGUUCGUCAUCUUUCUCAUUCCAAUAGAAAAACUAAAAAAGCAUCUCUAAGCUUCAUAAUACAAGCAAGUAGUCAUUGUGCUCAGCUCUGAUCAUGGACGCUAGAAGUAAGCUCGGAACUUAACAAUUUUAUGAUAGCGUAGAGAAAUCGGGCUUCAAAGUGAAGAACCCUAAAACUUCAAGUCCAAAUGUAACGGCUAUGGUGGAUGGAAAAAGAAAUUAAACAUGGGGGAAAUAUUCAUUAGGUCUAGGCGCACAAAGUGGUAUGAAGUUUUACUCAAAAUAGAAACUCACAGUACCUGUACGGAAGCAAGCUCAAAGGUGUGAAAAUGGUGGAUUUGCAAGCUCAAACAAGUAAGUGAGUCCUUCUCUUUCAAAUUCUACCAACUUCAGAGUAUAUGGGGUAGUGAUUCUGGAUGGGAAAAGUGGUUGGAAGUAGUGUGUAUUGAUGAAUUCGAUAGCCCUGUUUUAGUGAGGUUGAGGUGUAAAUUUGGCAUCUUGGCUUUUCAAGCUUGGUUUUGGAGAGAGUUGUGAGGUUGUUAUAUAGGCUGAGUGAGGAGAGUUGAUACGUGUCAAUUUGAAUCCAAAUUCGUGUGAAAAAUGAAUGUGUUGUGAUUGUUUUUUUUGUAGAAAUUUGUGAGUUGGCAAAGUGAUGCUGCAAUGGUCUUUUUGCAGUGCAAAUCCUUUAGUUUUGUGGGAAGGUAGGAAAAUAUGGUGUAUUGGUUGGGGCCCACUGACUCAAGAUAACUUGGUGGAUAAAACACUACAUUUGCAAGGUAAUUCCACUACACUCUGUACCAAAUUCAUGUGGUCCCUUUUUCGCCUUGCCUUUACUGCACUUUGGUCCAUUUAAACUUCCCUCUGGCAAUUAAAAUCUGGAUGGAUUAAUAUGUCAAACCAUAACCAAAAUUUACACACAUUAUGGUGUUGAGAAAUGAUGACUUUGAUAAUGAUUUGGACAAUGACCUGAUAUGAUUUUGGCAAUGCUUUUGAUAUGGUUUUGUUACAUGGUUAUGUAUGACAAUUUGACAUGAUUUUGGCAAUGCUUUUGAUAUGGUUUUGUUGCAUGGUUCUGUAUGGCAGUUGCUACUGUAUUAGACUGGAGUGCAUAUCUUGCUUGGCUUGUUUGAGAUAUGUGUCUGCAUAUAUUGGUGUAGCUUAUCAUGUUGAUCAGGUACAUGUUGUGGCUACAGGUGCAUUGCAGGUGGGCAUUCUGUAGAUUGGUUUAGGGACAUUGUUCUGCAUGUUGAUGCUUGCUGCAAGGCUUGAUUGUAGACUGGUUUAGGGACACUCAUGGUGUAGCAAAUGGUAUGCUGCUUGGUCUUUGCUCAUGCCUUUUUGUGUGCUGCAGAAUUGGUAAAGUCCUGCAUAAUUGUGUUGCAUUUGUGAAGCUAUGCAGGAUUUCAAGGCAUGUUCUUGUGAGUUGUAAUCCACAUGAUGGUUUGCUUCAUGGCCUGAGUUUCUAAUGCAUUAUUGCAGGUUGCAUUAGGCAUGAACUUGUUUUGCUUUGAUGGCUUGCAAUGCCUAUGGUUGGACCAUGCUAUAAUGGCUCUUUACACAAGUUUGAUGCAUUACUUUUGCAUGACAUAAUUAACAUAUGAAUGAUGUUUAAUGUCUUGUUUGAAUGCGUGAUAUGUUGUAAUGUCUUUGGUUGGUCUUUUGUAGGUUACGCACACAUGGAAUGGAUUGGCACAAUGACUUGCAAAGAUAUUCAACUAUCUUGCGCAUGAAGUAACAUUGGCAUAUGACACUAACCGAGGAUCAAGAGUGAAAUAGGGAUUAAGGUUUUGGGAUGGAAAAUGGGUGAGUUGACUACGGUCAAAAUGUCAACUUUUUUUUGUAAAUUUUGUAUUUUUUUUGGAACAUCUUAUGAUUUAUAAUGAAAAUUGGUGCUUUUUGUAGUAAGACAAAGAUAUCUUUUUGUAUCUUAGAACCUUCAUGCAUUCAUGUAAUGAGAUACUUUAUGAUAUGAGCUAUUCAGAUGUCAUGUAAAUGGAUGAUUAUGAUUGAAUGGAUGUGAGAAAAUUAAUGAA
rnacentral:lncRNA from 1 species